rnacentral:rRNA from 1 species
CACACACGAAAGCCAGGGUAGCGAACGGGAUUAGAUACCCCGGUAGUCCUGGCCCUCAACUUUGCUCGCUCGCUCUACGGAGUAUCGACCCUCUGUGGGGCUAAGCUAACGCGGUAAGCGAGCCGCCUGGGUAGUACGAUCGCAAGAUUAAAACUCAAAGGAAUAGACGGGGACUCGCACAAGCGGUGGAUUAUGUGGCUCAAUUCGUCGGCAAACGAAGAACCUUACCAAGGUUAGAAAUCCAGCUGCAUCCUCUCCGAAAGGAGAGGAGCCUUCGAGGGUGCUGGACAGGUGAUGCAUGGUCGUCGUCAGUUCGUGGUUUGAACUGUUCCCUUCAGUGGGGUAACGAACGCAACCCCCGUUGCCUGUUGUCUAUAUGACCAGGCGAGACUGCUCCCUCACGGGAGAGGAAGGUGGGGAUGACGCCAGAUCAGCAUGUCCCUUGAUACCUUGGGCUGCACACAUAAUACAAUGGUCGGUACAACGGGAUGCAAUACCGUAAGGUGGAGCCAAUCCUUAUAAAACCGNNNNNNNNNNNNNNNNNNNNNNNNUCUGCAACCGACCUCAUGAAGCCGGAAUCGCUAGUAAUCCCGGGUCAGCCAAACCGGGGUGAAUACGUUCUCGAGUCUUGUACUCACCGCCCGUCAAGUCAGGGGAGUUGGGGGUGCCCGAAGGUCUGC